rnacentral:rRNA from 1 species
CGCCAGACUCCUACGGGAGGCAGCAGUGAGGAAUAUUGGUCAAUGGGCGGAAGCCUGAACCAGCCAAGUCGCGUGAGGGAUGACGGCCCUACGGGUUGUAAACCUCUUUUGCCGGGGAGCAAAGAGCGGGACGCGUCCCGCCUCGAGAGUACCCGGAGAAAAAGCAUCGGCUAACUCCGUGCCAGCAGCCGCGGUACUACGGAGGAUGCGAGCGUUAUCCGGAUUUAUUGGGUUUAAAGGGUGCGUAGGCGGAUUUUUAAGUCAGCGGUAAAAUGUCCGGGCUCAACCCGGGCCGGCCGUUGAAACUGGGGAUCUUGAGUGGGCGAGAAGUAUGCGGAAUGCGUGGUGUAGCGGUGAAAUGCAUAGAUAUCACGCAGAACUCCGAUUGCGAAGGCAGCAUACCGGCGCCCGACUGACGCUGAGGCACGAAAGCGUGGGGAUCGAACAGGAUUAGAUACCCGCGUAU